AGCCAGCUGCUGGAGCUCCAAGCACCCGAGACGGGGUUUCACCAUGUUGGUCAGGCUGGUCUGGAACUCCUGACGUCGAAUGAUCCACCCGCCUCAGCCUCCCAAAGUGCUGGGAUUACAGGCGUGAGCCACCGCACCCGGCCCGCUUCUACUUCUAUCUUGCAGCUGCACACUCUUCCACCUGGAGCUGAGCUUUCGCUCACCGUCCACCACUGCUGUUCGCCGCUGUUGCAGACCCGCCGUUGACUUCCACCCCUCUGGAUCCGGCAGGGUGUCCCCUGCGUUUCUGAUCCAGCGAGGUGCCCAUUGCCGCUCCUGUUUGGGCUAGAGGCUCGCCAUUGUUCCUGUGCGGCUAAGUGCCCGGGUUGGUCCUAAUCAAGCUGAACACUAGUCGCUGGGUUCCACGGUUCUCUUCCGUGACCCACGACUUCUAAAAGAGCUAUAACACUCACUGCAUGGCCCAAGGUCCCAUUCCUUGAAAUCCGUGAGGCCAAGAACCCCAGGUCAGAGAACGAAAGGCUUGCUGCCAUCCUGGGAGCAGCCGCCACCAUCUUGGGAGUGGCCCACCACCAUCUUGGGAGCUCUAAGAACAAAGACCCACCAGUAACACCAGCACUUUGGGAGGCCAAGGCGGGGGGAUCACCUGAGGUCAGGAGUUUGAGACCAGCCUGACCAACAUGGAGAAACCCCAUCUCUACUAAAAAUACAAAUAAAAUUAACUGGGCGUGGUGGUGCAUGCCUAUAAUUCCAGCUACUGGGAAGGCUGAGGCAGAAGAAUGGCUUGAACCUGGGAGGCAGAGGUUGCGGUGAGCCUAGAUCGCGCCAUUGCACUCCAGCCUGGGCAACAAGAGCGAAACUCCAUCCCAAAAAACAAAAACAAGACAAAAUUAGCCGGGCUUGGUGGCACGUGCCUGUGGUCCCAGCUACUCCAGGGGCUGGCUGCAGCGGGAGAAUCACCUGAGCCGGGGAGUUCGAGUCUGCAGUGAUCCGUGAUUGUGCCACUACACUCCAGCCUGGGCGACGGCAGUGAGACACUUCUCAAAACAAAAAAGAGAAACAGUCAUCCAACCAGUUACACAAGGCCUCUGCAAGACACAACACAGUGUUAGAGAUAGUGAAAGAUAGUUCUAUGUUUUGGAGGAGUUUAUUUCCUCCCAAUUCGUGUUUUGUGUAGAAGCACCGUUGUCUGCGGUUAGCCUACGGACUACUGUCAAAGCCAAGAAUCUGAGAUAGGUUAGAUUAUUAGCACGGGUGAAAGUUUUAUUUCAGACAUGGAGUAAAAAAAAAAAUUGAUUCGAUCUAAAUUUCCUAAGAUGAGGCUAAAUAGGAAGAAAGAUACUGUUAAAACUAUUCAAUUACAGAACUGAUUAGUUUUACGAGUCUUUAAAGCUGCAACUUUCUUACUAUGUAGCUUUAUCCUGGAACCAAGAGCCAUCCCUACCAUGUCAAGUGUAGGCCCUUAAUUAGAAAUGAUAAGUAACAUUAUUUGGGGAAUUAAUCAGAAAACCAAACAAAAAGCUCCGUUUUUGUUUUGUGUUUUCUUUCUUCUUUCUUUUUUUUGAUGGAAUUUCGGUCUUGUUGCCCAGGCUGCAGUUGCAAUGGCGCGAUCUGGGCUCACCACGACCUCCGCCUCCCGGGUUGAAGCAAUUCUCCUGACUCAGCCUCUUGAGUAGUUGGGAUUACAGGCAUGCGCCACCACGCCCGGCUAACUUUGUAUUUUUAGUAGAGACGGGGUUUCUCCAUGUUGGUCAGGCUGGUCUCAAACUCCUGACCUCAGGUGAUUCGCUGGCGUUAGCCUCCCAAAGUGCUGGGAUUACAGGCAUGAACCACCUUGCCCAGCCUUGUUUUGUGUUUUCACUACAAAAUUCUGGUUUCUUCAAGUUGAAUAAUGAAGAACAACAACAAAAAUUCUGGUUCCUUUCACAUUAGAGAUCAUUUUCUCUGUGGGCUCUUCCAUUUAAAAUUUAAUUAUGCCCACAGCCACUUUUUAAAAAUAUAUAUGUAUAUACUAGUCAAGUGCAGUAGUGACAACAGGGAAAACAGUAGAACAAGGAGUUCCAUCUGUAACUGACCAUGAACAAUCAAUUGAGAUAACUCACUACCUUCAGACAAUCAGCCAUUUUUUUUGAGACGGUGUCUCGCACUGUCGCUGGGCUGGAGUGCAGUGGCGCCAUCUCGGCUCACUGCAACCUCCGCCUCCCGGGUUCAAGCGAUUCUCCUGCCUCAGCCUCCCAAGUAGCUGGGAUUACAGGUGCCCAUCAGCACGCCCAACUAAUUUUUUGUAUUUUUAGUAGAGAUGGGAUUUCACCAUGUUGGCCAGGCUGAUCUCAAACCCCUGACCUCGGGUGAUCUGCCUGCCUUGGCCUCCCAAAGUGCUGGGAUUACAAGUGUGUGCCACUGCGCCUGGCCCACAGCCACUUUUAAUAUAGGACAAGCAUUUGUGCUCUGAGAAAGAAUAGAGACAUGUGAUCAGAAUAGGAAAUGGUAUCUUGAAUGAGACUUUUUCAACAAUUAAACUCCCAGCAAGCUCCCAUAGUUACCUUUCCUUUUUCCCUCCCCACCAGAAUUUCAUAUUUAUUAGGCAAAUCAAUCAUUGAUUCAAGGGAAUUUUAUAUUUUAGAAAUCUUACUGUUCAAGAUCUGAACUUACAGACAGUUGCCAAAUUUCUCUAGAUAAGAAAAUAAAGAAUAGAGGGAACCUAACUGGAUAACAAAAAAAAAAGGAGAGAGAAAAAUGCCAUUGCAGUUAAAGGUUAUUAAAUAAAGCUUAGUGUCAAUGUCUUUGGAGUUGUAUUUGUUUGGGUGCAAGAGAGUAUGGGAAUUGGCUUCAAAAGAACA
rnacentral:lncRNA from 1 species